rnacentral:rRNA from 1 species
UACGAAGGGGGCUAGCGUUGCUCGGAAUUACUGGGCGUCAAGCGCACGUAGGCGGCUUUCUAAGUCGGGGGUGAAAUCCUGGAGCUCAACUCCAGAACUGCCUUCGAUACUGGAAAGCUCGAGUCCGGGAGAGGUGAGUGGAACUGCGAGUGUAGAGGUGAAAUUCGUAGAUAUUCGCAAGAACACCAGUGGCGAAGGCGGCUCACUGGCCCGGUACUGACGCUGAGGUGCGAAAGCGUGGGGAGCAAACAGG